ACUAGCUUGCUAGUUGCUGACGAGUGGCGGACGGGUGAGUAACGCGUAGGAAUCUACCGAGUAGUGGGGGACAACAGUUGGAAACGACUGCUAAUACCGCAUAAUCCCUGAGGGGGAAAGGAGGGGAUCUGUUUACAGACCUUUCGCUAUUUGAUGAGCCUGCGUGAGAUUAGCUAGUUGGUGAGGUAAUGGCUCACCAAGGCGACGAUCUCUAGCUGGUCUGAGAGGAUGAUCAGCCACACUGGAACUGAGACACGGUCCAGACUCCUACGGGAGGCAGCAGUGGGGAAUAUUGCACAAUGGGGGAAACCCUGAUGCAGCCAUGCCGCGUGUGUGAAG
rnacentral:rRNA from 1 species